AAACGGUAACAGGAUGUGCUUGCACAUCGCUGACGAGUGGCGGACGGGUGAGUAAUGCUUAGGGAUCUGCCUCUGUGUGGGGGAUAACUAUUGGAAACGAUAGCUAAUACCGCAUAAUGUUUACGGACCAAAGGGGGCGUUUGCUCCCGCGCAGAGAGGAACCUAAGUGAGAUUAGCUAGUUGGUAAGGUAAUGGCUUACCAAGGCGACGAUCUCUAGCUGUUCUGAGAGGAAGAUCAGCCACACUGGGACUGAGACACGGCCCAGACUCCUACGGGAGGCAGCAGUGGGGAAUAUUGCACAAUGGGGGGAACCCUGAUGCAGCCAUGCCGCGUGUGUGAAGAAGGCCUUCGGGUUGUAAAGCACUUUCAGUUGUGAGGAAAGGUUAGUAGUUAAUACCUGCUAGCUGUGACGUUAGCAACAGAAGAAGCACCGGCUAACUCCGUGCCAGCAGCCGCGGUAAUACGGAGGGUGCGAGCGUUAAUCGGAAUUACUGGGCGUAAAGCGCACGCAGGCGGUUUGUUAACGCUAGAUGUGAAAGCCCCGAGCUCAACUUGGGAUGGUCAUUUAGGAACUGGGCAGACUAGAGUCUUGGACGAGGGGAGUGGAAUUUCUAGUGUAGCGGUGAAAUGCGUAGAUAUUACAAG
rnacentral:rRNA from 1 species